rnacentral:rRNA from 1 species
UACGUAGGGGGCAAGCGUUGUCCGGAAUCAUUGGGCGUAAAGAGCGCGCAGGCGGUCGUUCAAGUCGAGUGUGAAAGCCCCCGGCUCAACUGGGGAGGGUCAUUCGAUACUGAUCGACUCGAAGGCAGGAGAGGGAAGUGGAAUUCCCGGUGUAGUGGUGAAAUGCGUAGAUAUCGGGAGGAACACCAGUGGCGAAGGCGACUUCCUGGCCUGUUCUUGACGCUGAGGAGCGAAAGCCAGGGGAGCAAACGGG